AUUUUAUCCGGGAUUUUUGAACUUCUUACUCUAGAAUCAUUUUGCAGAAGUUGGAUUUGUACAUAUAGCAAUAAGAAUAGAUUAUUUGAUGUUUUCUUUAACCAAACUGAUGGUGCUUCCCUACUGGUUCCACAGAUACAGUGUGCGGAGAUUUUGCUUGUGGAAAACUGGCAAAUGGCAGCUUUGGUGCCCCAUGAAGACUUACUAAAUUGCCAUCAGCACUGAAAACCAGCAGCACUCGGUGGGUAG
rnacentral:lncRNA from 1 species